rnacentral:rRNA from 1 species
UACAGAGGUCUCAAGCGUUGUUCGGAUUCAUUGGGCGUAAAGGGUGCGUAGGUGGCGGGGUAAGUCAGGUGUGAAAUCUCGGGGCUCAACCCCGAAACUGCACUUGAUACUGCCUUGCUCGAGUACUGGAGAGGAGAUUGGAAUUUACGGUGUAGCAGUGAAAUGCGUAGAUAUCGUAAGGAAGACCAGUGGCGAAGGCGAAUCUCUGGACAGUUACUGACACUGAGGCACGAAGGCCAGGGGAGCAAAGCGGG